rnacentral:rRNA from 1 species
CAGUAGCCACGGUAAUACGUAGGGCGCAAGCGUUGUCCGGAAUUAUUGGGCGUAAAGAGCUCGUAGGCGGUCUGUCGCGUCUGGUGUGAAAUCCCGAGGCUCAACCUCGGGCUUGCAUCGGGUACGGGCAGACUAGAGUGCGGUAGGGGAGACUGGAAUUCCUGGUGUAGCGGUGGAAUGCGCAGAUAUCAGGAGGAACACCGAUGGCGAAGGCAGGUCUCUGGGCCGCAACUGACGCUGAGGAGCGAAAGCAUGGGGAGCGAACAGGAUUAGAUACCCGCGUAGUCCCUGUCUCUUAUAU